rnacentral:rRNA from 1 species
GCCGUAGGCUUGCCUACGGCCACGUCUGGCCGAGGGUCGGCU